CACAGGUGAGGACUUACCAGAGGCCUUGCUUGCAGCACCAGAGGCAGCCCCAGAAGCAAGGGAGCCAACCAAGGCACCCAAGGACUGAGUCUGUUCCCAGACAGCUGCUGGAAAAGUGCUGCACUAGGACAGCUUUCAAGUCUCGGCUUCUGAACUAAGGGAGCAAAUGGAGGCAAAUCAGGGUCAGCUUUGGCUCAAGGCAGUCCUACGGAGGCUCCAGGGAAAAGGGCAGUUUCAGUCUGUCUGGUGAUGGCCCGUUAAGGAGGAGGACGAUCAUGGGUUUCUACAUGCCUACAGCAUGGCUGACUGGCCACAGCAGGAAAAGACUAUGCCACGGACUGCUCUUUUUCUGUUACCUGCGGGUGACCUUUGAAAGAAUAUGGUUGGACAAUGGCUUGUGGUCAGAGUGCUGCUGGAAAUUCAGAGGCUGCUAAAUGCAACACCACUGUUUGGAAUGCAGUGUGAUUUCUGUGCACAGGCACAGCUCCUGUAGUCUGCAG
ensembl:lncRNA